rnacentral:rRNA from 1 species
CCUACGGGGAGCAGCAGUGAGGAAUAUUGGUCAAUGGACGAGAGUCUGAACCAGCCAAGUAGCGUGAAGGAUGACUGCCCUAUGGGUUGUAAACUUCUUUUAUAAAGGAAUAAAACGAGGCACGUGUGCCUUUUUGCAUGUACUUUAUGCAUAAGGAUCGGCUAACUCCGUGCCAGCAGCCGCGGUAAUACGGAGGAUCCGAGCGUUAUCCGGAUUUAUUGGGUUUAAAGGGAGCGUAGAUGGGUUGUUAAGUCAGUUGUGAAAGUUUGCGGCUCAACCGUAAAAUUGCAAUUGAUACUGGCAGUCGUGAGGACAGUUGAGGUAGGCGGAAUUCGUGGUGUAGCGGUGAAAUGCUUAGAUAUCACGAAGAACCCCGAUUGCGAAGGCAGCUUACUAAACUGUGACUGACAUUGAUGCUCGAAAGUGUGGGUAUCAAACAGGAUUAGAUACCCUUGUAGUC